rnacentral:rRNA from 1 species
UUUGAUUUCUCAUAAGGUGCAGGAGAAGUCAAGCAUGACGUUUUCCUAUCUCUAGUCGGCAUAGUUUAUGGUUAAGACUACGACGGUAUCUGAUCGUCUUCGAGCCCCUAACUUUCGUUCUUGAUUAAUGAAAACAUCUUUGGCAAAUGCUUUCGCAGUAGUUCGUCUUUAACAAAUCUAAGAAUUUCACCUCUGACAGUUAAAUACGAAUGCCCCCAACCGUCCCUAUUAAUCAUUACUUCAGUCCUAGAAACCAACAAAAUAGGGCCGAAAUCCUAUCUUAUUAUUCCAUGCUGCAGUAUUCAAGGCGACAAGCCUGCUUGAAACACUCUAAUUUUCUCAAAGUAAAAGUCCUGGAAAAAACUCCACACAAUGAAGUGUGGAGAAAUCCAGAAGGAUGCUAGAAUUCACCAAGUGCACACCCCUGAGGGCGGACUGGCUGCUUCCAGCAGAAAUCCAACUACGAGUCUUUUUAACUGCAACAACUUUAAUAUACGCUAUUGGAGCUGGAAUUACCGCGGCUGCUGGCACCAGACUUGCCCUCCAAUUGUUACUCUGAAAGGGGUUUGGAUUCCUAUCAUUCCAAUCACUAGAAAUGAAAUUUCCAGUGUUGUUAUUUCUUGUCACUACCUCCCUGAAUCAGGAUUGGGUAAUUUGCGCGCCUGCUGCCUUCCUUAGAUGUGGUAGCCGUUUCUCAGGCUCCCUCUCCGGAAUCGAACCCUAAUUCCCCGUUACCCGUCACUGCCACGGUAGUCCAAUACAGUACCGUCGAAAGCUGAUAGGUCAGAAACUUGAAUGAUCCGUCGCAGACCGAAGUCAACGCGAUCCGUUCGGUUACUAUGAAUCACCUGAGGACCACCGGAAGGUGGGUUGGUUCUGUAUCUAAUAAACACUGCCCUUCCAGGGGAAGAGGCAUGUGCGCAUGUAUUAGCCAUAGAAUUACCACGGUUAUCCAUGUAGUAAAGACCAUCAAAUAAACUAUAACUGUUUUAAUGAGCCAUUCGCAGUUUAGCCGUAUAAAAGCUUAUACUUAGACAUGCAUGGCUUAAUCUUUAAGACAAGCAUAUGA